UUAAGCAAACAAACUUCAGGUCCCUUCUUGGUCUGAAAGUCACUUGAUCACUGGUUUCACUGUCUGGUUUAUUUUUGAAGAAUACGCGAAUAUACUGCAAAGAAACUUAAAAUAACGAUAAAAAGUGAUGUAUAUUCAGACUCAAGGACCAAGCCAAGAGGUUUUUGCGUCACCUCCAGCGAAAAAAAUGUCGUGGCUGACUUUGUUGAUAACACUGGCGGCCACGGCAGCAACCUGCCAUUCCUACGCCGAAGCAGAGGCUCUGUCCAUACUAGGCCUACGAGAAGAAGGAAUUCGGGAAACGAGAAGAAUAUUGCCAUGGAAAUUUCUUCCUCCGGUACUCUUCCACCAAGAUCAGAAGCUGCACGUUGCCUUCGAAGGAAGCAUCCACGUAUCAACCGCUGUUUUUUACAUGGCCGUAAACCCUCUGAGCAAGAGCUCACAAACAAGGUAUAAGUUCUCCUUCGACUGCAGUCCCGCUGAUCCUAAAGGUAAAUUGUGUGAGGCCACCGGUGGGCCUAUCCUGAAGUCAGGCGAUCUGGUGCACUACAGCAUCAAAGUGGUACUAAGCGAAGCGAGGAUCAUGUGGUUGACGAAUCAGAGGUGGACCGUUGAAUAUCCCCCAGCAACGUUGUUCCCGGGUUAGCAGACUUUUAUCUGAAAUCUCUAAGGAGCCGUUUCAAAGGCAAACCCCAACAACAACUACCAGUACCUACAAUUACUACUAAUAGACCUUUAUCAGAAUCUACAAGGAGCCAUUUCAAGGGAAAUUUGCAAGUACUACUACUACUAUACUACUACUACUACUACUACUACUACUACUACUACUACUACUACUACUACUACUACAAAUAUCAACAAGGACGGCCCUCACCGAGAAAUUUUUCAUCGGAAUCUUGCACCUCUGAGACGUCUCUACCCCAACAUGGAUAUACCUCUGGAAAGCCGAAGAUACUUUUUUGUUUUUUAAAUUGUGUUUGUUAAGACACGACUACUACAGCUACUGAGUGCCUACCGUGAUGAAAUCAGAUGAAAGUCUUUCAUUGGGUGGAUAAGAUACAAAUUCUUAAUUGCCAAGAAAUCAGUCUUGUUAAACUGUCAAAGAGUGACGAAAUCGUUGUUUUCAGAUGCAUCUGCUUCGAGUUAUUUUCCACACCAGCACGAUUUAAAACAGUAAAAAAUGUUCUCAUUAUUUCUGAUAGAUGUCCCUGUCCAUCGUGUGAAGAUUAAAACGAGGGGAAAAACUCAAUGCCCAACUCUUCCGAUGACUGAAUUAGGCCCACCGAAAUUAUCACGGCAUCGUGCCCCCCUAUUUUUUUUAUAUUUCACGUGAUAUUUUUUUUCAUACUAGACUCAUUUUGAAUCCCUAAAGCCAUAAUGACAACAUCGCAUUCAUGCUUUGUAAGAACAUCAACUCUUGGGCAAUAAAAUAAAAUCAUGAAAAAUCAGGUCCAGAAUAGCUGGUGCAAAUGAGAAGCAAUUAAGGCGAGAUUAAAAUCCCAAAUUUUUAAGUGAGGUCAGAUUCAGAAACUUAACUGAAUGAAACUAUGAAAGUGAGAAUACUGAAACAGUUUUGCUAACGUGACACUCAAGAUCUCCCGUUUUCGUCAUCUUUAUCGUCAGUUUUGUGUUGCCUUAAUUGUCAACGGUCAAGAUUAUUCGAGGUUGGAGUGUAUUUUUGGAACCAGAUAACUUACUGUCAGUUAAGCAUAUCUAGAAAUAAUUAAGCACUAAGCGAAUAGAAAUUAUCAAGUGUCCAGGAAGUCAGGUCAAGGUAUAUUGAAAAGAAUUUUAUUCAAACAUUCAGUUUUUUCCCCAAAGCAAAUUUUAUAAUGACACGGCAGGCACUUUGGAACUAAAAUUUCUUCCAGAUCGGUUUCCAAAAACUUCCAGUUCAUGAUAUCCUGUCCCACACCAUUGGCAAUUUGUAAUAAAAUAUAUACAUCACUUAAGUGGACAGUGUUCUGUAAUGCUUCCCAGAUCUUAAAAUAUAAAUUGUGGAAAAUAA